CAGGUAAGUCCAUAAAUGGGAAGAAGGUUUCGGCCCUUCUUGUUGGAGAAGCCCUCCUCUUACCUGU